rnacentral:lncRNA from 10 species
CCAGUUUGGGAGGUGGCGGCAGAGUAAGGGCUGAGGCCCCAGAUCUGCCUGGGGUCAGGCUGCUUCUACAAGUGCUGUGCCAGCCUCAGUAGUGUGGCUGCUAGGACAGCACCAUUUCAGUUUCAUCGAUGUCUCAGGCAGGAGUGGAGAGGAGUGUGGGUGUCCCAUGGGGUGUGUACUGACCUGUUGUAUCGACUCCACCUGUAGCUGGUGCAGGGGGAAGGUGGCGCCCUGUUGUGAAUCUGUUAUUUAUGAGGCUGUGGCUGCUGCAACAUCAGAAUCCACUAGUGUAGAGCCCGGCAAGCUGGAUGUGGGAGCCACGGAGGGCCACGAACUGCAGCACAUCGGCAACCAAAAGAUGCCCACAGGCCCCCCUGAGGACAGCCUGAGUUUAAAAUCUCUACCACCAAGUGAGGAAGAUAAUGAUGAUGCCCAGAUUUUACCAUCACCUGUCCUGGGUACGUACCUUGAACUAACUCAUUUUCUGAGAAACAAAUUUGCUGGCUUGAAUAUAUAGAAACCUUAAUUUGGAUUCCUGUUAAAAAAUGUUGGGGGUCUGUUGAGAGUAAAUGAUUUUGCAAGUGUAUAGCUAUGACCAGAGGGGCUGUAGAAAUGUGUGUGAACCCAGAGGACCAACCAGGAGAUUUUGUGUGAGCCAGUGAGUCUUCACCGGGAGGAGGAGAAGUGAGUGCACCUCUCACUGACUUAUCCUGAUGUUGGUGGUUUUAAAGAGUGGAUUUUGGAAAAUCUCAGCAGGGAAGAGGAUGCCUUUCCAGGUAGGCAACAAGACUUCAGAUGGGGUCUAAUAAAACAGCAUUUCCAAGAACCUUCAUGUUAUACCUUCUGCUUGGGAGGCUUAGGGAGGGUGUAGAAAGAGAAAAAGGAAAAGUUAAUAUAAGCCACGUUUGUUAUCUUCAGAGUUUAAUGUCAUCAUCAUGAGGAGUACUAUGUUCAUGGGCUUUUGAGUAUCCUGUGUUUUCAAUCACCUGUUCUUGGUUUAUUAUUUAAAGAUGAUUUUUCAGAGAAUACCUGCUCUUUUCUGCCUGUGCCACUGCAAAAUGUCACAGCCUUUGGUUUGGGACAUAGUUCUGUCACAGGCAGUUACUUAAUCCUGAAUAUAAAACUCUUCUGCAGUGUGCCCAGAUGCAUAGGAGAGAUUGAUCCACACCUUAUGAACUUAGGUUUCAUGGCAGGACAUUCAUUUGUCUGUCCUUG